ACGUAGCGAAAUGCGAUACUUGGUGUGAAUUGCAGAAUCCCGUGAACCAUCGAGUCUUUGAACGCAAGUUGCGCCCGAAGCCAUUAGGCCGAGGGCACGCCUGCCUGGGCGUCACAC
rnacentral:rRNA from 2 species